rnacentral:rRNA from 1 species
GACGAACGCUGGCGGCGUGCUUAACACAUGCAAGUCGAACGGAAAGGCCCUGCUUUUGUGGGGUGCUCGAGUGGCGAACGGGUGAGUAACACGUGAGUAACCUGCCCUUGACUUUGGGAUAACUUCAGGAAACUGGGGCUAAUACCGGAUAGGAGCUCCUGCUGCAUGGUGGGGGUUGGAAAGUUUCGGCGGUUGGGGAUGGACUCGCGGCUUAUCAGCUUGUUGGUGGGGUAGUGGCUUACCAAGGCUUUGACGGGUAGCCGGCCUGAGAGGGUGACCGGCCACAUUGGGACUGAGAUACGGCCCAGACUCCUACGGGAGGCAGCAGGGGGGACUAUUGCACAAUGGGCGGAAGCCUGAUGCAGCAACGCCGCGUGCGGGAUGACGGCCUUCGGGUUGUAAACCGCUUUCGCCUGUGACGAAGCGUGAGUGAGGGUAAUGGGUAAAGAAGCACCGGCUAACUACGU